GGGCUUCGGCCUGGUGGCGAGUGGCGAACGGGUGAGUAAUGCGUCGGAACGUGCCGAGUAAUGGGGGAUAACGCAUCGAAAGGUGUGCUAAUACCGCAUACGCUCUGAGGAGGAAAGCGGGGGACCUUCGGGCCUCGCGUUAUUCGAGCGGCCGACGUCUGAUUAGCUAGUUGGUGGGGUAAAGGCUCACCAAGGCGACGAUCAGUAGCGGGUCUGAGAGGAUGAUCCGCCACACUGGGACUGAGACACGGCCCAGACUCCUACGGGAGGCAGCAGUGGGGAAUUUUGGACAAUGGGCGAAAGCCUGAUCCAGCCAUGCCGCGUGAGUGAAGAAGGCCUUCGGGUUGUAAAGCUCUUUUGUCCGGGAGGAAAUCCCGCAACCUAAUACGUUGCGGGGAUGACAGUACUGGAAGAAUAAGCACCGGCUAACUACGUGCCAGCAGCCGCGGUAAUACGUAGGGUGCAAGCGUUAAUCGGAAUUACUGGGCGUAAAGCGUGCGCAGGCGGUUUGAUAAGUCAGAUGUGAAAUCCCCGGGCUUAACCUGGGAACUGCGUUUGAAACUGUCAGGCUAGAGUACGUCAGAGGGGGGUGGAAUUCCACGUGUAGCAGUGAAAUGCGUAGAGAUGUGGAGGAACACCGAUGGCGAA
rnacentral:rRNA from 1 species